rnacentral:rRNA from 1 species
CCUACGGGCGGCAGCAGUGAGGAAUAUUGGUCAAUGGACGAGAGUCUGAACCAGCCAAGUAGCGUGAAGGAUGACUGCCCUAUGGGUUGUAAACUUCUUUUAUAUGGGAAUAAAAUGUUCCACGUGUGGCAUUUUGUAUGUACCAUAUGAAUAAGGAUCGGCUAACUCCGUGCCAGCAGCCGCGGUAAUACGGAGGAUCCGAGCGUUAUCCGGAUUUAUUGGGUUUAAAGGGAGCGUAGGUGGAUUGUUAAGUCAGUUGUGAAAGUUUGCGGCUCAACCGUAAAAUUGCAGUUGAAACUGGCAGUCUUGAGUACAGUAGAGGUGUGCGGAAUGCGUGGUGUAGCGGUGAAAUGCUUAGAUAUCGCGAAGAACUCCGAUUGCGAAGGCAGCUCACUGGACUGCAACUGACACUGAGGCUCGAAAGUGUGGGUAUCAAACAGGAUUAGAUACCCUUGUAGUC